rnacentral:piRNA from 1 species
UGCCAAUGACAACAUCUGAGCUGUUAAUCGA